UUGUGGUGCCUCUAGACUUCUUUCCGGAAGAUUUCUGUUUCAGAGAUCUGAGAACCUUGGUCUAAGAGACAGGGGGAACCUCAAAUGCUGCCCAGCCAUAGCCAUGUACAAUUAGACAUCCCUGGACGCUUUUCUGAACCUAGAAGAGUAGAGGAACGUUUUCUCCCUCCCUGACAGCUGGUGUAGUUGGUGAGAUAAACUUCCCUGGCUGGACUCCGCCCCGCCGAGGCUGCUGCAGCUGAGCAAUACUGGGACAUCUGACAAGUGCUCCAAGACCUGGGCUCUGAGUUAUUUGGCUUGUCGGGGACAGGGGCUGAUCUUUCGGCAACAAAGCUGCAGCAAGUUUCUUGAAAAUGCAAGCAAGAGGGCUAACCCCUCC